AAAAUUUUAAGUUCAUUAGACCACAUUCAUUCUGUGUCAGAAACCUAUGCUGUGUCAACUAUUUAAUUUUAGAUUUAAAUAAGUUUGAAGAAGAAAUCUUUAAUUGAUUUGUAAAAUAUUGACAUUUGUUUUGUGUAAAAAACCCAUAUAAUGUCAAAAAUUUGAUCACAAUCCAAAUUCAGAGCUGUAUCACGCUUAAAUGUUUUGUCCAUACCUGCCCCA
rnacentral:lncRNA from 1 species